CACGUAGGGUCCGAGCGUUGUCCGGAAUUACUGGGCGUAAAGCGUGCGCAGGCGGUUGUGCAAGACCGAUGUGAAAUCCCCGGGCUCAACCUGGGAAUGGCAUUGGUGACUGCACGGCUAGAGUGUGUCAGAGGGGGGUAGAAUUCCACGUGUAGCAGUGAAAUGCGUAGAGAUGUGGAGGAAUACCGAUGGCGAAGGCAGCCCCCUGGGAUAACACUGACGCUCAUGCACGAAAGCGUGGGGAGCAAACAGG
rnacentral:rRNA from 1 species